UACACAGAUACUUCCCAGAACAAAACCCUCAUUGGAUUUUCCUGGAAGUACGGAGAGUUACAUCCAGAGAACUCUGAACAUUUUGGAAGGACCCCAAUCCUGCAAACAAUGAAUGGCAAUAAAUCCUGGGACUGGAAAGGUUUAAUGAAGCCAGCUGUCAUGUUGAUGAGACUCAUGUGUCAAGGAACUGAAGAUGGUCCAUAGCCAACAGCCAGCCAGGAACUGAUUGGCUAGUAGUCCUUGAGGAACUGAAUCUCACCAACAACCAUAUAGUGAACUUGCAAAUGGUGCUUCCUCAGUUGAAACUAAAGAUGAGACUGAAGUCCUAGUUAACACUUUGUUUGCCACCUUGUAAGAUUGUGAAACAGAGGCCUGAGCUAAGCCAUGCCCAGAUUCUUGAUCCACAGAAACUGUGAGAUAAUAAAUGUGCAUUGAUUUAAGCCUCAGAUUUUGUGGUAAUGCUUUACAAAGCAAUAAGUAACUAAUGCAGUAUUCAACAAAUUUUUUGAAAAAAAAAAGAUGCUUGAAGACCUGUAUUUAAUUAUUUUUGUGAAGAAUACUCAAUGUAUACUGACUGCACCUGGGUUUUUAGUCUUAACCAAAUCAUAUACCAGUUUUAUGACCUGGCAAAAAUGUUUUUCUCUCUCUCUAGAGGUCACUUUCUUCAUCUGUUAAACGAGGUAAUUAAUUUAGAUGAUCUUUAAAAUGUCCA
rnacentral:lncRNA from 1 species